GCGCAGCCUGAUGCAGCCAUGCCGCGUGUGUGAAGAAGGCCUUCGGGUUGUAAAGCACUUUCAGUCAGGAGGAAAGGUUAGUAGUUAAUACCUGCUAGCUGUGACGUUACUGACAGAAGAAGCACCGGCUAACUCCGUGCCAGCAGCCGCGGUAAUACGGAGGGUGCGAGCGUUAAUCGGAAUUACUGGGCGUAAAGCGUACGCAGGCGGUUUGUUAAGCGAGAUGUGAAAGCCCCGGGCUCAACCUGGGAACUGCAUUUCGAACUGGCAAACUAGAGUGUGAUAGAGGGUGGUAGAAUUUCAGGUGUAGCGGUGAAAUGCGUAGAGAUCUGAAGGAAUACCGAUGGCGAAGGCAGCCACCUGGGUCAACACUGACGCUCAUGUACGAAAGCGUGGGGAGCAAACAGGAUUAGAUACCCUGGUAGUCCACGCCGUAAACGAUGUCUACUAGAAGCUCGGAGCCUCGGCUCUGUUUUUCAAAGCUAACGCAUUAAGUAGACCGCCUGGGGAGUACGGCCGCAAGGUUAAAACUCA
rnacentral:rRNA from 1 species